AAGGGGUUGAUGUAAUGGUAGCAUAAGGGAUUCCAAAUCCUUUUGUAUGGGUUCAAGUCCUAUGCCCUUUGCCA
rnacentral:tRNA from 1 species